ACUGCUCAGUAACACGUGGAUAACUUGCCCUUGGGUCCGGGAUAACCCCUGAGAAAUUGGGGACAAUACCGGAUAGGGCAUCGAUUGCUGGAAUGCACGAUGUCCAAAAGCUGAGGCGCCCAAGGAUAGGUCUGCGGCCGAUUAGGUUGUUGUUGAUGUAAUGGAUCAACAAGCCUGCAAUCGGUACGGGUUGUGAGAGCAAGAGCCCGGAGAUGGGUUCUGAGAAAAGAACCCAGGUCCUACGGGACGCAUCAGGCGCGAAAACUUUACAAUGUGCGAAAGCACGAUAAGGGAACUCUGAGUGCCUCCUAUGGAGGCUGUUCAGGUGUCUAAAAAGCACUUGAAGUAAGGGCUGGGUAAGACCGGUGCCAGCCGCCGCGGUAACACCGGCAGCCCAAGUGGUAGCCACGAUUAUUGGGUCUAAAGCGUCCGUAGCCGGCCAGGUAAGUUCUUUGGGAAAUUUAACCGCUCAACGGUUAAGCUUUCAGGGAAUACUGCUUGGCUUGGGACCGGGAGAGGUCAGAGGUACUUCAAGGGUAGGGGUGAAAUCCGUUAAUCCUUGAGGGACCACCAGUAGCGAAGGCGUCUGACCAGACCGGGUCCGACGGUGAGGGACGAAGGCUAGGGUCGCGAACCGGAUUAGAUACCCGGGUAGUCCUAGCUGUAAACGAUGCGGGCCAGGUGUUGGCAUUACUGCGAGUGAUGUCAGUGCCAAAGGGAAGCCGUUAAGCCCGCCAUCUGGGGAGUACGGUCGCAAGGCUGAAACUUAAAGAAAUUGGCGGGGGAGCACCACAACGGGUGGGAGCCUGCGGUUCAAUUGGAGUCAACGCCGGG
rnacentral:rRNA from 1 species